UGGUUCUAUGCAAUGCAAUAUUUUUAAAAUUUUUAAUUAAGAGAUUUCAAAGUACCGAGCAAUAUUGCAAAUAGGGAGGGCCAGGACAUGCAUCCCAUGCAUGUGGACUUGGGGUGUGCCAAAUGACUAGGCUGCACAACCUACGCACCAGGGAUUGCCAUCCAAGACAGUCAGAUCAUGAAUCCCAUGUCGAUGGGCCAAGCUGG
rnacentral:lncRNA from 1 species